GACGAACGCUGGCGGCGUGCUUAACACAUGCCAGUCGAACGGAAAGGCCCUGCUUUUGUGGGGUGCUCGAGUGGCGAACGGGUGAGUAACACGUGAGUAACCUGCCCUUGACUUUGGGAUAACUUCAGGAAACUGGGGCUAAUACCAGAUAGAAGCUCGUGCUGCAUGGUGGUGGUUGGAACGUUUCGGCGGUUGGGGAUAGACUCGCGGCUUAUCUGCUUGUUGGGGGGGGGGUGGCUUACCAAGGCUUUGAUGGGUAGCCGGCCUGAGAGGGUGACCGGCCACAUUGGGACUGAGAUAAGGCGCAGACUCAUACGGGAGGCAGCAGUGGGGAAUAUUGCACAAUGGGCGGAAGCCUGAUGCAGCAACGCCGGGUGCGGGAUGACGGACUUCGGGUUGUAAACCGCUUUCGCCUGUGACGAAGCGUGAGUGACGGUAAUGGGUAAAGAAGGACCGGCUAACUACGUG
rnacentral:rRNA from 1 species